AAGGGCUUGGCUGUAAAAUGAGUCAUGUAGAAAGAGUGGCUGGUGCCCAGACGAGAUGGGAGCUGAAGAGUGACCAAAUACAAAGCACAGCAGGGAGCUCUUCUGUGUUUGUGGGGAACACAGUGAGAAAUCAUGAAAGUGGGAGAAUUGCUCAGUAGUAUGGAAAACUAUAGGGGGAAAGAAGCAGCAUGAGCAGGAAACUGGAGCUUGUUCACAGUAUGAUUUUGUGAUUUUAGGACAUGUGUCAGGGAGAGAACAUAAGUAACUGAGGAAAUCCCUUUAGCUCUUUGAUUUCCUUAAAUAGUAAAAAUCUGUGUUUCUCUCUACCAUUCCUGGUAGUUGUAAUAUUAAAAGUCAUCUCUCAAGUCACCUCAGAGCCUCAAAACAAACAAACAAAAAACACACAAAAGAAAUGAAAAAGUUGAGUGGGAGUUUCCAAGAAGAUUUGAGUUUUGGGUGCCAGCUGUGUUUAUCUCCUAGGGAGGGUUUCUCGAAGAGAGUUCUGAGAAAGCUGCAAAAAAAACUCAAAUUGGACAGGAAAAGUUUUGUCAACUGGCUUUUGAAACUCACUCCUGAUUUUAUACCUUGGCAGAUGCAGCUGAGGGGCACUGCUGCCAGCUGUUACCUUGCUUGCCCUCCACACUGGACCUUGAGCAAGUGUUGGUGUGGGGUUUCCUUUGGGUGGGAAUUGCCACCUGCAGUCAGGAUGUUGCCAAGGAUCUGCUGCCCUCUUCUUCCUUAUCCUUCAAGAGAUUAAUUGGGGUUAUUCGUGCAGCCUGUUGAAACUGUCAGGAACAUGACAUGCUGAAAUGUGGGACCAGAUGUGAACUUGGGUCAUCAAGUCCAGUGUUGGCUAAGGACCAGCAUGACGUUCACUCCAGAGCCCUGGAAGCCACUGCUAAUGUGUAAUUCCUGCCUUGAUGGUCUUCCUGCCCUUGUCAUGGCUAAUGAUCUGCCAGGGCAAAGGCUGGGUUUGAAACUGAUUGCUAUCAACAUUUACAUCUGGGAAUGGAUCUGAAUGUCAAGGAGCAUUUAAGAAAUCGGUUAUCAGAGGAUUGCAGCAGAGGUACCUCGCAGGAGAGCACAGCUUUAGAGACCCUUUCUUCAAGAAGUGGGAUGAAGUAUCUGUGGCCUUUAAAGAAGGAUGUCAGGAUGUGGUAACCAUUAACCAUGCAAAGGAGGCAUUCCUACACACGAGGGAAAUGCACCCUCGUCAACACAUGACUGAAUGCAGCUGCCAUGCCCUUAGGGGGGGUAAUAGGACCACACGGUGCCAAUGGAAAGGACACUUUUUUGUUGUCAAGCAUCUCCAGUUGCUGCUUUCUGAUGCUCAAGGACUGGACUGUGGUGGAUGGCUGCUGGCACGUGGCCCACGCAAACUCCAUUCUCUGGUAGGACAAAGGGGCAUAAUGUAAAGUCAAGCUGAGCCAAAAAUGUUGCAAGUGACAUUUAUUUCAGAGACGUCUGCUUCAGAAAAUUUCCAGUAUUUCAACUUACCUUAAGAAUGAAAUCACCAAUGAAGAUUGCACUUCUUUCUUCUCCAUCUCUCAUGAGGCAGAGGGAGGCGGUGGAGGUGAUGAAAAACAGAAGAUACAGCUGGAACUGUGAGAAAUUCAGGUUUACAAAAUAUAAUAAUCUAAACUGUAAUUUAGCUAAAUGCAUGCAACUAGAUCUAACUGCUGAAAUGUGCACUGAGGUUGCUAGGGGCUAAUUUUGCCAGCCCUUAAUGCUGUAAAUAUACUUCCUGAAAGAUGA